ACACAACUUAUCUGUUCAAAUAUAUGCCUUUCACCCUAUUCAACUUGAAUAACUGCCCCCACAGUAGCUUAUUUAUACCAAAUGCUGUAAUGUUUGAAAAAAAAAUGUGAAAAUUCGAAUAUCAAAAUGUAUCAUAUACUGUCUCUUUAAAAAUUCGACUUCGACCAUUCGCCAUCUAAAACCUGCCGAAUUGCUGUUUGAGCCUAUUGACUACCCAUUUGGAGUCAAUUGGUGGACUUUGAAAAACCGAAAAUUCGAAUUUGAUUGCGCUAUUACUUCGAUUCGUACGAAUCUAAUUCAGCUGUAUUACGGACCUAUUUGAUGGAAAACUGACCUAUUUGGUUACAAAGAACUUCAACUUAAUUUCGGUUGGUCUUUUUGAAUUCGAAUUUCGAAAUUCGACCCUUGAUAAAUAUGCCCCUAUCUUUAAAUGCUUUUUAAAAAAAAAAACUUCAUAUUUUUGGAACAAACAAACAGUAUCCCCCCCUAUGCAACCCCUUGGGCAAGAGAAGUUGCCUGGGAAAUAUAUUAUAUAUUUAAAAAUAUCUGUUAAAUAUAUUAUAUAUCUACAUAUACAGUAUAAGUAGGAAACUGCCAUCAACAGGAAAAAAACUUUUUAUAAAAGUAAAUUGCAUCCAGUACAUUACCCAUAAAUUUUGAUAUGAUAUUUCUAAAAUGCUUGUUGUUAAUACUGAAUAAAAUCUAAAAUUCAUCAAUUACAUAAAAAAAGGUUUGGGACACCUGAUAUAGACAUGCAACAGCUAUUGUGUGCCACAUAAGUCUACAUGCAUGGUACAAAUGCCUUUUUAUUAAAUAUUCCCUGAUACAUAUCAUGGCUUCAACAUCAAGGAAGGUGCAGAGCCGAAGCAGUCAAGCCCAGGAGGAAAAUGCCAAGAAAAAGUAAGAACACCCUCUGUAAUUACAGAUUUGGAAUGCCAAGACAGGAAAACCCAUAAGGGUGUAUGAGGAGCAUAUAGAACAAGUCAACUGCUGCCAAUUCACCAAUGGACUCUCUGCACCACUGCUUGCCACAUGCUCCAAUGACUGCCUAAUCAAGAUUUUUGAUUCUAAGAGCUGUGAGCUUCUGUCUCGACUCAAGGCCUGCCAUCAGAUCCUUUACUGUGACUUCUGCACUACUAAUCAGAUUGUAGCACUUGCUUUGUCACACGAUGUUGUUCAGGUAUGCAGUUUGAUCCCUUUUCCUGUCUCAUUCAAUAAUCUUAAUGCUAUCUUUUUCAUUCUCUCCUGUAGCCACUUUCAAAAAUACCCAGUUAAUGUUAAAUUCUAAGUGAGACAAUACAUUACCAUAAGCAGAUUCUUCUGCCAACACAUUUUUUUUUCUUUUAAGUGAUUAAACUUGAAAAAAGACCCCUGGGUUGGCAAAUUUGCGUAGCCUACACAUUACUCCAUCUUUGGCUCUUUAGUAUAUUUGUAUUCUGUUUUUCCUUAUAUUGUUCAUUUGGUGUAGGUCUCUCUGUAUGUAGUGUAUCAUACAGUGAUGUAGCAUAAAUGGCACACAGUAAAUGUACAGAGAAGAAAGCUGUCAAAAUUUCAGCCGGAAACACUGUGAUUUAGAUAGAUGAUUAUACGUUUAUUUCUGUGACUGACUAUUUUCUCCUGCUGUGAAUGCAUUGAAACAUAAUCAGGUGGGAAGUGAAUGUUAGCAAGGAAUGCAGAAGGCUUAUAGUGUACUUCAGCAGCACUUACGCAGAACUGCACUGUGACCAGUGUAAGAAUUAAAUAAGGUGACGUGGAUGUAGGGGGAAAAAAGCAUUCCGGGAGGUUAGAAAAGUAAUUCAGAUCAUCAAAAGAUUACCAUUCUUCUAAGCAGUACGUAUUGUGAGUAUAACUAAGACUCUCUUUUUAUGUAAGACUUUUAAGCAUUUGACACCCCGUUUUCUUUUAAUGAGGUGAGAUAAAAGUGCUGCAGGUGAGAAAAGAAAUGUUAAAGUUGUAGUGCUUUAAAAAAUAGUGGGGUUAACAGGUUAUGGAAAUGAACAUGAGUCACGUAAAUUGACUGGGGAGACCAAGUCAAGAAGAGGAUAAGUGAAGAGGUGAAUGAAUCGUGCAACAGAAAAAAGAAGAAGGAUUCAAAGUAAAAUUGCGGAUGUAGUAUUAGUGUAGUAGAGGAUGAGUGAAAAUUAUGAUGAGGGUAUGGAGAAGAGCAAUAUAAUCUAAUUUCAUAAAGUUUCUUUUGUUUGCCUAGCUGUGGAACACAGAUUCCUCUACGAAGAUAGCUGACUUCAAUGCACACCUGAGCUUGGUUCACUGUGUUAAAGGAACAGUUCAGUGUGAAAAUAAAAACUGUGUAAAUAGGCUGUGCAAAAUAAAAAAUGUUUCUAAUAUAGUUAG